GAGUGAGGGCUGUACGGUCAGCUCCUUCCGAACCCCCCCAGGGCAGAAAUGCAGCAAGGGUAGGAGGUUGAGCGACCGGUAUGGUUUCUCACUCUUU
rnacentral:SRP_RNA from 1 species